GACGAACGCUGGCGGCGUGCCUAAUACAUGCAAGUUGAGCGCUGAAGGUUGGUACUUGUACCGACUGGAUGAGCAGCGAACGGGUGAGUAACGCGUGGGGAAUCUGCCUUUGAGCGGGGGACAACAUUUGGAAACGAAUGCUAAUACCGCAUAAAAACUUUAAACACAAGUUUUAAGUUUGAAAGAUGCAAUUGCAUCACUCAAAGAUGAUCCCGCGUUGUAUUAGCUAGUUGGUGAGGUAAAGGCUCACCAAGGCGAUGAUACAUAGCCGACCUGAGAGGGUGGUCGGCCACAUUGGGACUGAGACACGGCCCAAACUCCUACGGGAGGCAGCAGUAGGGAAUCUUCGGCCAUGGACGAAAGUCUGACCGAGCAACGCCGCGUGAGUGAAGAAGGUUUUCGGAUCGUAAAACUCUGUUGGUAGAGAAGAACGUUGGUGAGAGUGGAAAGCUCAUCAAGUGACGGUAACUACCCAGAAAGGGACGGCUAACUACGUG
rnacentral:rRNA from 1 species